CCGGAGCUUGCUCCACCGGAAAAAGAAGAGUGGCGAACGGGUGAGUAACACGUGGGUAACCUGCCCAUCAGAAGGGGAUAACACUUGGAAACAGGUGCUAAUACCGUAUAACAAUCGAAACCGCAUGGUUUUGAUUUGAAAGGCGCUUUCGGGUGUCGCUGAUGGAUGGACCCGCGGUGCAUUAGCUAGUUGGUGAGGUAACGGCUCACCAAGGCCACGAUGCAUAGCCGACCUGAGAGGGUGAUCGGCCACAUUGGGACUGAGACACGGCCCAAACUCCUACGGGAGGCAGCAGUAGGGAAUCUUCGGCAAUGGACGAAAGUCUGACCGAGCAACGCCGCGUGAGUGAAGAAGGUUUUCGGAUCGUAAAACUCUGUUGUUAGAGAAGAACAAGGAUGAGAGUAACUGUUCAUCCCUUGACGGUAUCUAACCAGAAAGCCACGGCUAACUACGUGCCAGCAGCCGCGGUAAUACGUAGGUGGCAAGCGUUGUCCGGAUUUAUUGGGCGUAAAGCGAGCGCAGGCGGUUUCUUAAGUCUGAUGUGAAAGCCCCCGGCUCAACCGGGGAGGGUCAUUGGAAACUGGGAGACUUGAGUGCA
rnacentral:rRNA from 1 species